rnacentral:rRNA from 1 species
CUACGGGUCGCAGCAGUGGGGAAUAUUGGACAAUGGGCGCAAGCCUGAUCCAGCAAUACCGCGUGUGUGAAGAAGGCCUGCGGGUUGUAAAGCACUUUCAAUUGUGAAGAAAAGCCUGGGGUUAAUACCCUCGGGUCUUGACGUUAACUUUAGAAGAAGCACCGGCUAACUCCGUGCCAGCAGCCGCGGUAAUACGGAGGGUGCGAGCGUUAAUCGGAAUUACUGGGCGUAAAGCGUGCGUAGGCGGCUAGGUCAGUCAGAUGUGAAAGCCCCGGGCUUAACCUGGGAACUGCAUUUGAUACUGCCUGGCUAGAGUAUGGUAGAGGGAAGCGGAACUCCGGGUGUAGCGGUGAGAUGCGUAGAUAUCCGGAGGAACACCAGUGGCGAAGGCGACUUCCUGGACCAAUACUGACGCUGAGGUACGAAAGCGUGGGUAGCAAACAGGAUUAGAUACCCCGGUAGUC